CUUGUUAUGGAGCUCUCAGGUUUGGAAUCAGGCAGAGCUGCAAUCCCAACUCCAUCUACCAUCUGCCACAAUCCGAAGCACAUCUCGGAUGACAGCACUUCUGGACGACGAAAGUGCAGACUUUGCCAUCAGAAGACGCCAGUCAUGUGUGCAACAUGUGAGGUGCCGCUGUGUUUCCUUCCGAAACGGGACUGCUACAAUGACAUGGCAUCGAAGGGAGGGGAAAUAUUGAUUAGUGUGUGGUAUUUAGUCUGUCAUGUUCCAUUUUUAUUUGCACUUUAUAUUGUUCAAAGUGUUCAAAGCUAAUAGUUGUUCAAGAAUUUUUUCAAGUAUAGGUGGAGUUCAGACCCUGAGAAAUGCAGUUCCAAGAAGUUAGGGGAUGAACAACAAUCCACAUCCAUGUGGAUCUUCAGAUUCUGCAUUGUUGAAAAAAGUGUGACAGGCUGGCAUGAGGCAGUAUACUUACACACUCACAAUUAUACACAGUGUUACAAAGUUGAUUUGUUUUACUUACACACUUUUUCUGUCUCUGUUUCCUUUUUUCCGCAUGGGUUUCUUCGGAGUCUGGGUUGUUGAAGAAAAUGUGGCACGAGGUAGUCCUAGUGGAUGUCUUGUGAGUCUGCACUGUUGAAGAGCACAUAAAAUGCUGACAUGAGGCAGUACUAGCGUCUUUGGUUUCCAGUUGGAUAGACAGCCAACCUCUGUAUUGUCUUUAGUGUAAAUAGUUGCAUUGUUGAUCAAACAUUAAAAUUAAUAUUUUGCUGUAACAAAAAUUGUAAUAAUUUUUUUAAAUUUCUUCAAGUGUUUGUUUUCCCUAAAUUCAUCAAGUUUUUUUCAAAUGCAUAUGUACAGUA